AGCCGCGGUAAUACGUAGGGGGCAAGCGUUAUCCGGAUUUACUGGGUGUAAAGGGAGCGUAGACGGCAGCGCAAGUCUGGAGUGAAAUCCCAUGGCUUAACCAUGGAACUGCAUUGGAAACUGUCCGGCUAGAGUGCAGGAGAGGUAAGUGGAAUUCCUAGUGUAGCGGUGAAAUGCG
rnacentral:rRNA from 1 species